rnacentral:lncRNA from 1 species
UAUUUAUCUAUUGAGAUAUCAAUUUAUCAUGCGUGUUGGGGAAAAAAUUAUCAUAAGCAUUGUAACUUUUUAUAGAAAUAUUAUAUUUUAAUUUACUGAUAUUUUAUAGGAAUUCUAUCGAGAGCGUAGAUAGAUUCUUUUAUAAUGCAGCCUAGAUAAUAUUAAAAAAAAUAAAAAAAUGAUUUAGAAAAUGAUUUACAAUUUACCAUCCCAAUAAUGGGUGAUUUUUACACAGUCUACUAAUAUUCAAAAUAUGAACGCCACCAAAGAAAAUAAGUUUCCAUUAUCCCAUUAAAGAAGUUGUAAGCGUGAUUGGGCUGCGCUCUAAAAUUAUAGCCAUAAUUUCAUUUUCAUGUUGUGAGACAAUCAUUUUUUCUUUUGACUUGACCAAGAUAUUGUGCCGCUGUGGAAUAUGCUCUUGUGCGUAUAGCUCACUCAGUUUUUCUGUCGUUACUUUUUUAUAUUGCAGUCACUCAACCACACAGCAUGUGUUGUUGGAAUGUAAUGCUUUGAGCAUGAAAAGAUUGACUGCAUUUUGGAUUUGAUGUCUUGAGGGGGUGCGUUUAUAGUGGAUAUCCAAAAGAAUGCCUAAACAUUUGAUUCUUUUUAGAGCAUGUAAAGAAGAGAUAAUAAUUGGGGUUUGUUUGUGUGCUUAUUCCUCCUUGCACCUUUGAGCCUUUGAGGCUGUUGCAUUGCUUUUUUCUUCAAAAAAAACAUUAUGCAAUUACAAGAAAUCCAUUGCUUGGAUAUUUUCAAAUAUUGUAAGAUGGAUACAAAAACUCUUUUUGUUACUUAGGGCUAUUCAAAUUUUAAAACUAGGGUGUUGUAACUUCAAAUUCACAUUUACGGACAUGAUGAGAUAUUUGUUUUAAAGUUUCUAAUAAUAAAACAAUCAAAUUCUUGAGAACCACCAAAUAGUUAGGUGAUAAACCAUUUCAAAUUUCAUUCAUGCUGGUGGUAAAAUAUUGGACGGAGGUACUAUUUCAUUCAUGUUGGUGGUAAAAUAUUGGACGGAGGUACUAAUGGGAUUACAUAUGGAGAACAUGAUUUGAGACUAUGAUAAAGGAUGAAGGGAAAGUUGAGAAGGGAGGAUAAAAUGGAAAGAUCUCAAUGAAUUAGUCUCAAUCACCUAAACUGCCAAAGAGUGACACAAAAUUACCUCCUACAAAAUAUUUAAGUCACCACGUGUCUAUAUGGGACCACAGUAACAAUCACACGAGGCGCCACGAGGCCACAUCCCCACCUAAGUUGUCUCCAAAGCAUCUCUUUGUGAGCCGCCAAAGUCAAGAUUGAGAAAGGGGGACUACGGACAAGCCACCUCCAACAUCCCUCUAAUUGAUUCAUUCAAAAUUGGCCAAUUAAUUAUAGUUAAGGGCACACAAUCAGCACAGACUGUCACUAAAUAGAUAGUUGCCCAACCUAAACAAGCUUAAAAGCCUCAACAAAAGGAGUCAAAUUACUCUCGAGACCCAACCUUAGGAGGAGAAUCACCAAUAACAGCUCGCCUCAUAUCUAAAAGGAUAUAAAUAUGCCCUUAGAGAACUUCACUUUAAAAGGUCAAAUUGGUCUUAUUAAGGGGUAAGAUCACUCACAAAACACUUAAAAUCUCCUACUCUAGAAUUUCGCUAAAAACCCAUCAUCUUCUUCGAUCCCUCAUUUACUUGAUUAUCAAAGCGUUGUCGCUAGCCACCACCACCGUCGCCUCUAACAACUGUUCCUUAUGAUUUCAGAUUCGUCUCAUUCGUCAUCGUCCCCAGAAAACAAUUUCUAGACAGCUCAACAUCCAUCUUCACCAAAAAACUACCUUCUGUAGAGAAGUUCUCAUACUAUUUUGGGCUAAAUCAGAUAAAAAAAAUUCAUAUGAGAAGAGAUUGUAAAUAGGAUAAAAACUUGUUUCAUCCUUAUAUUUUAAGGUUAGUACUCAUUUAGUUCCUAUAUUUUUAAAAAUGCCUCAAAAUAUCCCUACCUUUAAAUUAUUGACAUCACUACUGUUACUUUUUGUUUUAUUUGACUUACUUUUACAAUAUUACUCUCUUACAAUAAUUCUUUUUAUGAAAUUAAUAAAAAGAAAAAAAUUAAAUUAUCAAGUUAACCCCAAAAAUUAAAUGAAAACAAAAAGAUUAUAUAUUAAUUUU